AAAAAUAAUAUAUUUUCAAAAAUUUCUCAAAGCGGUCGCUCGUUUCUUAUUUUGAGCGCGAGAUUUUUUGCCUGUCGAUUUGUAAUGAAACGCAACAAUCGAUUAUCGAAGAGAUCGAAGAGUAUCUUAAUUGAAAAAGUGUUUUGUUUCUAACGAAUAAUCGAAAUCGAAUACAAAAAUCGAGUCGUUCGAAGCAUCAAAAAAUGACAAACAACGGCUCAUGUAUUUAUAACCAGUCUUCGCCUCUUGUACGGAAAUGGUAAUUUGGAACGGAUAAGUUCGUCACGGUAAAAUUCGUCACGUCACUUUCGGCGAUUUAUCGUAUAUUCGCAGUUUUGUCGCAACUUUAUGUCGUUCUUUGUGCAGCGCCUUUAUUAAGAUACAAAACAUAGAACGGCAUGUACAAUCAUAAUAGUAUCGUCGGCGAGAGAGAAUUAUUUUUCUUUCUUUUAUAUUCGUUUUUUUUCUCUGUUGUUUUCUUAAAAGAGGAAAAAAUAGAAAAAACGAAUACCAAGAAAAACUAUCAAAAGUUAAUAUGAACAUUUAUCUAGUUACGAAAGCUCUCGAUCGUUUCUUUAAAUUUGAUAUUAAUUCGUUAUGCAUUUCAUUUCUUUUUCCUUUUUUGUUCUUGUCUAUCUAAGUUUCGUAUAUGUACAUUAUAUACAUGUAAAACGGUUAAUUUAUAUAUAUAUAUAUAUAUUCUCGUAUCUUAAUGAUUGUAUAAUUAGGAUUGACUAUGUCUUAGAAUAAUCAACGAAAUUAUUAAUUAUUGUGUAAAAUAUCAAAUAUCGUACUGUUAGAUGGUAUGUCCAUCUCCAAGGUACCAUUUUGGACGAAUAUCGGUCCGUCUAACUUGCCUAGCACUUUGAUGAGCAAAUACUUUGGAGAUUACAUAAUCUAAUAAUAUCAGGUAAUAUUAAGUAUAGAUGAUUUUCAUUAAUUACAAAUAUAAAACAUGUAUAUGUAAAUAGAAUUCUUAAUUAUGCGCAAACAUGAUCUCUAAUUGAGCAUACGUGAAUUUUAUCAUCAGUCUAAGCCGAACGAUGCGGCUCCAUACACAACAGCAGCGGUUAACAAUACACGUUUCUUUUUUUUUUUUUUUAAGCUUUGUAGAAUCUACCGUAACAAAUCAGUGUCCUUCUCGAUUAAUGAAAUAACAAUAGCGCAUGCUACGAAAACGUUAUAUUCGUAAAACUUUCAAACAGUUCUCAAGCAUAAAACACACAUGACAACGGCGCGAAAAAGUAUACAAUGUGAACGACAUCCUUAAGAUUUCCUUGCCUUUCCUUUUGCCGCGCGUGCAAGUUCAUUCUUUCGUUUCUUUUUAUGUUACGUGUUUAUUCAAGAAUACAGGUAUAGCAAAUCCCAUCGAUUCUCGCAUGAAUCGAUAGAAUCGAUCAAUGAUCGCGAUAGAAUGAAAAUAGUAUAGGAUGCAAUCGAUCAUCGAUACUAUCAUUCACGCUCGAUCUUUUUGAGACUCUAUAAGUACGAUUGCUCGGAACAUACAUAUCUACGCAGCGAUUCUCGUAUUAAUUUACAUGGAUUUAAUCUGAAGUGAUUUCUCGCAUAGAUGAUGAACAUUCUCAGAUGAGUUUCUUCCAUCCACAAAUUCGUCGAUUUCCAUUUAAUUCACACGAUGGAUCAUGUAAGUCUUUACAUCACUAUGAAGUCGUCACAAUUAAGUAAAAGUGCGUAAAUAAGCGCAAUCAAAAACCACAGAAAGAAAUAGUAAAAACAAAUCGAAUAAAUCACUGACAGCAUGCUAACUGUGGUAUCACGAAAAUAUCUUCAGAGUUGAUUCCAAUGGGUUGUUCACAAGUAUCAAUCGUUCUUUUUAAAAUGUGAUAUGCGAAAAACGUAAUUAUACGAUCUAUCAUAAGAUCCAAGUCGAGGUACGUAUUUGAUAAUUAUGUUCGCAGAAAAACUAAUGAAACCAGCAUAUAAGGAAUGCAUAUUGCAUAUUGCAAACGGUGUUACCGCAUGCUACUUAAAAAUUACGUAUAGAAACCGCAACAUCGGUUCCUCUUUUCCUUUGUUUCUAUUUACAUACUUCUAUUACUUUCUUUUAUGUUCAAGGAGGAUAAUGUGUAUGAGAAAGUCGUCGAAGCACCCACACAAACUCUUUAUGAUCGCACAAUUUCAUCAAAAAAAUUCUGUUUCACGUCCUCGAACGAUAUCAAACUGACAUAACCAUAUAUAUAUAGCUCAGUGA